CGAAUGCUGACAUAAGUAACGAUAAAGCGGGUGAAAAGCCCGCUCGCCGGAAGACCAAGGGUUCCUGUCCAACGUUAAUCGGGGCAGGGUGAGUCGACCCCUAAGGCGAGGCCGAAAGGCGUAGUCGAUGGGAAACAGGUUAAUAUUCCUGUACUUGGUGUUACUGCGAAGGGGGGACGGAGAAGGCUAUGUUGGCCGGGCGACGGUUGUCCCGGUUUAAGCGUGUAGGCUGGUUUUCCAGGCAAAUCCGGAAAAUCAAGGCUGAGGCGUGAUGACGAGGCACUACGGUGCUGAAGCAACAAAUGCCCUGCUUCCAGGAAAAGCCUCUAAGCAUCAGGUAACAUCAAAUCGUACCCCAAACCGACACAGGUGGUCAGGUAGAGAAUACCAAGGCGCUUGAGAGAACUCGGGUGAAGGAACUAGGCAAAAUGGUGCCGUAACUUCGGGAGAAGGCACGCUGAUAUGUAGGUGAAGCGACUUGCUCGUGGAGCUGAA
rnacentral:rRNA from 1 species